GAUGAACGCUGGCGGCAUGCCUAAUACAUGCAAGUCGAACGAGAGGAAGGACAGCUUGCUUUCCUGAAUCUAGUGGCGAACGGGUGAGUAACACGUAGGUAACCUGCCCAUGUGCCUAGGAUAACUUCUGGAAACGGAUGCUAAAACCGGAUAGGUAGCAGACAAGCAUUUGACUGCGAUUAACGUGGCCUUGGCCACGAACUUGGCUGGACCUGCGGUGCAUUAGCUGGUUGGUGAGGUAAAGGCCCACCAAGGCGACGAUGCAUAGCCGGCCUGAGAGGGAGGACGGCCACAUUGGGACUGAGACACGGCCAAAACUCCUACGGGAGGCAGCAGUAGGGAAUUUUCGUCAAUGGGGGGAACCCUGAACGAGCAAUGCCGCGUGAGUGAGGAAGGUCUUCGGAUCGUAAAGCUCUGUUGUAAGAGAAAAACGGCACUCAUAGGGAAUGAUGAGUGGGUGAUGGUAUCUUACCAGAAAGUCACGGCUAACUACGUGCCAGCCGCCGCAGUAA
rnacentral:rRNA from 1 species